AUUGAACGCUGGCGGCAGGCCUAACACAUGCAAGUCGAACGAGUGGCGGACGGGUGAGUAAUGUCUGGGAAACUGCCCGAUGGAGGGGGAUAACUACUGGAAACGGUAGCUAAUACCGCAUACCAUCGGAUGUGCCCAGAUGGGAUUGGCUAGUAGGUGGGGUAACGGCUCACCUAGGCGACGAUCCCUAGCUGGUCUGAGAGGAUGACCAGCCACCCUGGAACGGAGACACGGUCCAGAUUCCUCCGGGAGGCAGCAGUGGGGAAUAUUGCACAAUGGGCGCAAGCCUGGUGCAGCCAUGCGGCGUGUAUGAAGAAGGCAUUCGGGUUGUAAAGUACUUUCAGGGAGGAGGCGUUACCCGCAGAAGAAGCACCGGCUAACUCCGGGCCAGCAGCCGCGGUAAUAC
rnacentral:rRNA from 1 species